rnacentral:rRNA from 1 species
GUUGGGUAGGGGAGCGUUCUGUAAGCCUGCGAAGGUGGCCUGUGAGGGUUGCUGGAGGUAUCAGAAGUGCGAAUGCUGACAUAAGUAACGAUAAAGCGGGUGAAAAGCCCGCUCGCCGGAAGACCAAGGGUUCCUGUCCAACGUUAAUCGGGGCAGGGUGAGUCGACCCCUAAGGCGAGGCCGAAAGGCGUAGUCGAUGGGAAACGGGUUAAUAUUCCCGUACUUGGUGUUACUGCGAAGGGGGGACGGAGAAGGCUAUGUUGGCCGGGCGACGGUUGUCCCGGUUUAAGCGUGUAGGUGUGUGUUCCAGGUAAAUCCGGUUCACUUUAACACUGAGGCGUGAUGACGAGGCACUACGGUGCUGAAGCAACAAAUGCCCUGCUUCCAGGAAAAGCCUCUAAGCAUCAGGUAACAUCAAAUCGUACCCCAAACCGACACAGGUGGUCAGGUAGAGAAUACCAAGGCGCUUGAGAGAACUCGGGUGAAGGAACUAGGCAAAAUGGUGCCGUAACUUCGGGAGAAGGCACGCUGACACGUAGGUGAAGUGAUUUACUCAUGGAGCUGAAGUCAGUCGAAGAUACCAGCUGGCUGCAACUGUUUAUUAAAAACACAGCACUGUGCAAACACGAAAGUGGACGUAUACGGUGUGACGCCUGCCCGGUGCCGGAAGGUUAAUUGAUGGGGUCAGCGCAAGCGAAGCUCCUGAUCGAAGCCCCGGUAAACGGCGGCCGUAACUAUAACGGUCCUAAGGUAGCGAAAUUCCUUGUCGGGUAAGUUCCGACCUGCACGAAUGGCGUAAUGAUGGCCAGGCUGUCUCCACCCGAGACUCAGUGAAAUUGAACUCGCUGUGAAGAUGCAGUGUACCCGCGGCAAGACGGAAAGACCCCGUGAACCUUUACUAUAGCUUGACACUGAACAUUGAGCCUUGAUGUGUAGGAUAGGUGGGAGGCUUUGAAGUGUGGACGCCAGUCUGCAUGGAGCCGACCUUGAAAUACCACCCUUUAAUGUUUGAUGUUCUAACGUGGACCCGUGAUCCGGGUUGCGGACAGUGUCUGGUGGGUAGUUUGACUGGGGCGGUCUCCUCCUAAAGAGUAACGGAGGAGCACGAAGGUUGGCUAAUCCUGGUCGGACAUCAGGAGGUUAGUGCAAUGGCAUAAGCCAGCUUGACUGCGAGCGUGACGGCGCGAGCAGGUGCGAAAGCAGGUCAUAGUGAUCCGGUGGUUCUGAAUGGAAGGGCCAUCGCUCAACGGAUAAAAGGUACUCCGGGGAUAACAGGCUGAUACCGCCCAAGAGUUCAUAUCGACGGCGGUGUUUGGCACCUCGAUGUCGGCUCAUCACAUCCUGGGGCUGAAGUAGGUCCCAAGGGUAUGGCUGUUCGCCAUUUAAAGUGGUACGCGAGCUGGGUUUAGAACGUCGUGAGACAGUUCGGUCCCUAUCUGCCGUGGGCGCUGGAGAACUGAGGGGGGCUGCUCCUAGUACGAGAGGACCGGAGUGGACGCAUCACUGGUGUUCGGGUUGUCAUGCCAAUGGCACUGCCCGGUAGCUAAAUGCGGAAGAGAUAAGUGCUGAAAGCAUCUAAGCACGAAACUUGCCCCGAGAUGAGUUCUCCCUGAGACUUUAGGUCUCCUGAAGGAACGUUGAAGACGACGACGUUGAUAGGCCGGGUGUGUAAGCGCAGCGAUGCGUUGAGCUAACCGGUACUAAUGAACCGUGAGGCUUAACCUUACAACGCCGAAG